CCAAUCCCCACCACGCGCUCCGCACCCAAUCCCCCGUCUCCCCAGGCCCCAGUCCCCACCGGAUAAACCCUAGCCUCACCAAGCCCCACAUCUCGCGCUCCUCCCUCCUCCAUCCUCGUUAGCCGCCGCCGCCGUUCUGCCUCCCUCCUCUCUCCCCUACAACCACGUCGCCAGGAGGAAACCGCCGUUCGUGGCGCCAUGCCGCUGCCGGGGUGUUGUGCACGCUUCGUUCCCCACAGCCCCUCCCUCAUCCUCGCUCAUCACCGCCGCUGCCUGCUACUCCCCUCCACCAUCGUUGGUGCUUCUGGGUCGAAUCUGGCGUUGGUGGGUUGGAGCUCGAGCUAGAGGCCAAGACGGGGAAGGUUAGAAAAAUGAGAGACUGGAUGGAGGUGCUCGAGACCGAGGAAGCUGGAGAUGCACAAUUAGCUUCACUGGCCAUCCGGUGGUUGGAUCACGAGCCAAUUCUCUGGUCGCGAUGGGGUUGAGCUGCGCAGGAGGGGGAGGAGGCUGGCGACAGGGAACCGGGCCAGGGAGGAGGCAAGGAAGAACGCACAGUCUGCACUGGGGUAUAAAAUUAUCUACUACUUACCUUUGUGUCUCGACAUAUGCUUGUGAAUCGUGCUACCAGAGGCCAACAUUAUCCAGUAUCAUAGCGAUGCUAAAAAUGCCUAUUGGUUAUUCUGCAUAUUCUCAUCUGAUUUCUCAUAUAUAGAUAUUAAUUUCCUUUCAUGGGAGGCCUUCAUUACAUUUCAGCGGCGGUUGCGGAUGUGGUCGGCGGUUGAGGGAGGGUCUCCGACUAGAGCAGUAGGAGCAAGGAGCUCGAGGAAGUUCAGGCACAGAGUUUAUGGUUACUGAAUUGGAUAAUAGAGAGUCACAACUUCAGUUUUCAAUUACAGUAGUUGAUGUGUUAUGUUUGCUGCAAUGUGUCAUGUGUGUUUGAGAGAGAGGGAUGAAAAAGAGGGGACUGGAAGCUUGAUCAUUGCUAGGAUCUAGAUUCAGAGAGAGGGAUGAAAAAGAAGGGACAUGGAUUCAGAGAGGGAUAAAAAGAGGGGACUGAAAGAUCUUGCAUUGCGUUUCUUCAUCUACCAAUACGAUUUUGUGUACCAUUUGAACAUAACCAAGCAGUAUAACAAAAUGUGCUGGUUUAUGGCUUCUCACGGGAUGUGAUUCUGGUCAUGCUGCCUGUUAUGAAGGUUGAGGCGAGCAUCAUGAAGAUGAGCAGGCGAGUGGCUGAUACAGAGAGCUCCUCGAACGGGGAAGUAGCAUUGCUGGAGGAACUCAAAGAUGAGCUAGUCAAUUUUGGCAUGUCCAGUUCAUGUAACCUUUGCAUCUUUACAUGUCUUUGCCUUACUGCCAUUUUAUUUUUGCUGCUUUGGGAUUAGGUUCCGAAGUCAUGCCUUUGCCUUACUAUUGUGCUAAUACUGGAUGCAACAUUGUGGACCUUUGGUUCGAGCAUGGCCAGCAUGGCCACGGAUUGUAGGGGAGGAAUGUAUUGCCUAAUAAGUUGUAUGCUUUCUUCGGAUCCUCUGUGCUUCCUAUCACAUCUAGCUUGGCCACCUACAGAUUCUUGGGUCCAGGUGAGCUCUCCCUCCACUUUCCAAGUUUUGCUUGCUCUUUCUGGGCUAUUUGUGUAGGCUAACCCCUUUCCUAUGUCUCUUAUUUUAUUAUGGAUCAUGGAAGCGGGAAGUGUAACUCACAUUUUUAGAACACUGAUCCUUUAGGUAUAUAUAGUUUGGUUUUCUGAAAGUGGAUUGCAUUUGCUUCCUGAUCACAUUGAAACAAGAGUGGAAAUAACCAUCGUCCGCCGUCCGUUCUUCCUCCCUCAGGUUCCUGAUCUGAAUCAGAGGGAACACGAGGUCACAUUCGCAAAGUGGCGGAAGGGGGCUGCAACGUUUUUCUUCAGUCUGAUAAUCAUAUAGUAAUUAGAUGGUGUAUUACUAUGGCGGUGGUAUACUGACUUGGUGUAAGAAUCACUAACAUGACUUUACGUGUACAAAUCUUAUAGGUUAAUGAUAUUAAGAAUUAGUAGCGUGUUUUUUGUUUACCGCUGGAUUUGCUAACAAGCUGUCUCUUGUGUUGUUGAUAUGUUGACUUGCCGUUUUUGGUUCAGUUGAAGGGUUCUCUAGGCUUAAGAUCUUUCUAGGAUAAUUGCGUCAUUGAAUCUGAAGGUAUUUGAUUGGUUUCUCAACUCAUGUAUCGAUAAGCAUUUUUUCAUCCUCAAUAUAUUGUUACUUACCUGACUUGUCGUGCAUUUGUUAGGUUUCUGAGGAAGUUCACUUCUUGCACGCGGCGUAUAACUUGAGUUGCCUAAAAAUGAUUUUGCUAGUUCGAUGAAAACUUAAAAUAACCAAGGGAAAUUUCUCAGUUUUGUUGUUCUUGCUCUUCUCAGAUCUUAGGUUGGGGGUAUUAACAUAUAUGCCACACACUAAGUUUAGAUCUUAGUGUGAGAUUAAAUAGGGAUAAAUCCUUGUGCCAUGUUGAAGAAUUAGAAUUACAAAAAAGAAAGGAAAUAUUAAAGAAGGGAUAUGGUUGAUUAGGUUAUUUUGGUGUUUCUUUGUAAAUAAUGACAUGCUAACUUGCUGGUUUAAUUUAGGUGUGUGGAAUAUAGGAAAUACAAGGAGAGAUAUUCAGUUGCAAUCCAGCUUUAUUUUCAAAGUGAAACAUGGUAUACAUGCAUAGCAUGCUGGUCUUUUACUCUAUAGUUGUGCGCCGCCAUGGUGUCAACUUUGAACUUGCAAACUGAACUAUAAAAUGUUUUAAUGCCUUGGCGCAUGAAGUUUUCUUUGCCUGCUCUGACUACUUCAUUUAUGUUUAUUUAUCAGGUUAUGCGAUCUCCUGUGUUGCUGCAUGUUGAUCUUCUGUUUUGUUGUAACUCUGUUUUGCUGCUCGAGGACAAUUUCCUGGAUUAAUAUCUAUACUGGAGAUCUAGGAGUCCACCCGAAUUCAGUCUCCAUGAAGCCGUUCAUCCAGGAUCCACCAAAAUUCAAAUGAUAUGUGAAAAGCGUGUGCUAGAUGUGGCCCCUAUCCAGCGUUUUGAUCUGUCCACUCAGGUGCUUUUGUCUAGGUGGUAACACAACAAGCUGCUUAUCUUAUAGAAACUUAUUAUACGUACAGUCCUAUGUUCGUUCUGCUUGCAUGUUAGAGAAAGAGCUUCUGCCCCUAUGUGAGUAAUCCUAUGGGAAUUAGCAACGUUGGUUGUACUUUCAAGCAGGCAGAAUCCAAUGCAAGUUUUUGGAGCAGUUGGGUUCCAGAACAAACGACUAGGUAUUCCCAAAGAGGUCAUUCCACUGGUGGCUAGCAUAAUAUCUUCAUGUCGGGACAAGUAAGAUGACAGAUCAUUUCUCAAAUAAUAUGCCGCUGUUCUCAAUAAUAUGCUGCUGUCCUCAACGGUCUUUGGUGCAGCGAUCCAAGCAAGCAACCAUCAUUCUACCAGCUUUUGUCAUCGCUGAAGAAAUUACAGUGGUUACAUUGUUACAUAAAGCCUAUGACAAUUUGUGAGUGUUGUUUGUGCAAUAUACUGGUUUUAUGGCAGGUGCAUGUAUGAAUUCAGAUGGUAGUGGUCUCCUUGUUUACAGUUAUAAGAAUAAUAAAAAUAUUUAUAAUGUUCUUUCCA